UAAUUAGGCGGAGGAAAAGAAACUAACAAGGAUUCCCUCAGUAAGGGCGACUGAACGGGGAACAGCUCAGUAUGAAAUUGGCAUUUAAUGUCGAAUUGUGUGCUAAAAGCUUUGACGUUACAAUAUCCGCUGUUAAAUCUCUUGGAAAAGAGUAGCAUAGAGGGUGAUACUCCUGUCAACAGCGGUCAUUGAGUUGAAGUUCUUGAGUCGUGCUGCUUGGGAUUGCAGUUCUAAGUGGGUGGUAAAUUCCAUCUAAGGCUAAAUAUUGGUAGGACACCGAUAGAGAACAAGUACCGUGAGGGAAAGAUGCAAAGAACUUUGAAAAGAGAGUUAAAGAGUACUUGAAAUUGCUAAAAGGGAAGCGAAGGAAUCCAGUGUGUAUCUGGUUGUACUUUCUGGUGUGCUUGCAUACUGGGCACUGCAGCCGGUGAUGUAUGUCAUGGUUGGGGCUGGCGAAGAGUGUCAUGGUGAUCAGUCACUGUGUUUGCUUGCUGUCCCCAACUUUGAACUGCAAAAUGGUUUUCUUUUCCCCG
rnacentral:rRNA from 1 species